rnacentral:rRNA from 1 species
GGUGAACGCUGGCGGCGUGCCUAAUACAUGCAAGUCGAGCGAACGGACGAGAAGCUUGCUUCUCUGAUGUUAGCGGCGGACGGGUGAGUAACACGUGGAUAACCUACCUAUAAGACUGGGAUAACUUCGGGAAACCGGAGCUAAUACCGGAUAAUAUUUUGAACCGCAUGGUUCAAAAGUGAAAGACGGUCUUGCUGUCACUUAUAGAUGGAUCCGCGCUGCAUUAGCUAGUUGGUAAGGUAACGGCUUACCAAGGCAACGAUGCAUAGCCGACCUGAGAGGGUGACCGGCCACACUGGAACUGAGACACGGUCCAGACUCCUACGGGAGGCAGCAGUAGGGAAUCUUCCGCAAUGGGCGAAAGCCUGACGGAGCAACGCCGCGUGAGUGAUGAAGGUCUUCGGAUCGUAAAACUCUGUUAUUAGGGAAGAACAUAUGUGUAAGUAACUGUGCACAUCUUGACGGUACCUAAUCAGAAAGCCACGGCUAACUACGUG